rnacentral:rRNA from 1 species
UACAGAGGUCUCAAGCGUUGUUCGGAUUCAUUGGGCGUAAAGGGUGCGUAGGUGGCGCUGUAAGUCGGGUGUGAAAUUUCGGAGCUUAACUCCGAAACUGCAUUCGAUACUGCGGUGCUUGAGGACUGGAGAGGAGACUGGAAUUCAUGGUGUAGCAGUGAAAUGCGUAGAGAUCAUGAGGAAGACCAGUGGCGAAGGCGGGUCGUCUGGACAGUUCCUGACACUGAGCACGAAGGCCAGGGGAGCAAACGGG